rnacentral:lncRNA from 1 species
CUUGCUUGCCAUCGUGCUCAUUCGCACACGCUUGUGAGGGUCGCUCCCUACAAGCCGGCACUCCGGAGUUGGCCUACGCGACAGUUGCUCGCCCAUGCGGGAUUGGGUGCCGAAGUGGAUUGCCGUGGGGAGUGUAUACUACCACGGGGCCAUUAGGCGCGGCGCAAGCUGGACUACCUUGGGUAGGUCCCUGUGAAUGAAAG